UACGUAGGGUCCGAGCGUUGUCCGGAAUUACUGGGCGUAAAGAGCUUGUAGGCGGUUUGUCGCGUCGGUUGUGAAAACUUGGGGCUCAACCUUAAGCUUGCAGGCGAUACGGGCAGACUAGAGUACUUCAGGGGAGACUGGAAUUCCUGGUGUAGCGGUGAAAUGCGCAGAUAUCAGGAGGAACACCGGUGGCGAAGGCGGGUCUCUGGGCCGAUACUGACGCUGAGGAGCGAAAGCGUGGGGAGCGAACAGG
rnacentral:rRNA from 1 species